rnacentral:lncRNA from 1 species
GCCAAGAAGAUCAUAACCUUUAACAAGCUUUGAAACUGAAGUUUCCAAGCAAGGUAAUUUGAUCUUGUGAGCUUUAGAGGAGCUUGUGCAGCUACAUUAAAUGUUACUAAUUGUAUAGAUGUAUCACUCAUUGUGGAAGAGAAGAAAAAGAAGAAAGGAAAAGGAUCAAGAGACGUUUGUCUUGGAGCUCUGAUACCAUAAAAGACUAAAACAAUGUUACUGCAACAGAUAUAUUUU